rnacentral:rRNA from 1 species
UCCCGGGCCUUUUUCUUAUAUGCAGCUGCCUUUUGUCUUAUCAAUGUGAUAUAGUAAGGGAAAACAAAUGAUAUUACUUUACUUAUAGUGUUGUCUAAUUCUGGUGCCAGAAGACUCGGUAAUACCAGUAACGCGAACGUUAGUCAUCUUUAUCAGGCGUAAAGGGUUUGUAGGCAGCUUUUAAAAAAAUUUCUUAACUAUAUAAUAUUGUCCUUUUGCCCCUUUUUUUUUAUAAAAAAGGAGGUAAGGAAUAAAAAUAGUUAAGUCUCUAAUUUGAGAGCUAGAAUCAAAUAGAAGUUAAAAAGUAUAAUACUUAGAGAAGGGUUGAUAUUCUUAGAACCUAAGGGGAAUACUAAUGGUGUAAACAACUAACUAUAAAUGAUUGACGCUGAGACACGAAGGUGAGGAUAGGAAAUAGGAUUAGAUACCCCGGUACCCCUCUCUGUAAACGAUGAAUGGUAGUUAUUAGUGUAUUACUGGUAACGAUGCUAACGCGUUAACCAUUCCGCCUUGGGAGUACGAUUGCAAAGUUGAAAACAAAAAAAUUAGUCGGUCUCGGAGCAAACGGAGUGAAGCAUGUUAUUUAAUUCAUU